CUCAGGGUCACCAACAACCUGCUGAUGGCAGCUGAUGCAGGCACUCUGCGUCUCCGGAUCCUCCUGGACUUGAGCGCAGCGUUUGACGCUUUCGACCACCCCAUCCUCCUGGAAUGCCUCCGGGACACCAUCGGAAUAUCUGGACCACCAGCUCUAAGUUAGUUCCACUCCUACCACUCAGACAGGAUUGGCAAGAUUCUUGUUUUUAGAAUUUACGGAUAGCCACGGUCACACUCAAGACAUAAUUUACAACAAAGAAUGUGUUUAGUGAGUUCGCCAGAUCAGAGGACGUAGGGAUGAACUGGGAUGUUCUCUUGAUAAGUGCGUGAAUGGGAACAUUUUCUUAUCCUGCUAAGCAUUCAAAAGCAUUGGGUGUCAGGGAAAAUGUAUGAAGUAAAAAUUACAUUCUUUUCUUUAGGAAUGUUGUGGAGUAAAAGUAAAAGUUGUCAAAAAAUAGUAAAGUACAGAUAACAAAAAAGUUAUACUUAAAGUUAUUUACACCACUGCCCAGCUGUCAGUAAAAACUGCCCCAAGUCCCUAUGAUGCAUGUGCCGCCUGAACACCUGCCUUGAGGAGAUAAAGGCAUGGAUGAAGCAACUGAACAGCAGCAAAACCGAGGCCUUACUCGUUGGCAACCCCUACCAGGUAACUUGUCAAUAACACACCUCCAAUCUGGGUGUAAAGCUUGAUUCCUCACUGACCUUUGACAACCACAUCAAACAACUGUGUAAAGCAUAAUUCUAUCACCUCAAGAACAUUGCCAAACUCCAUCCCACCAACACUCAGUCUGAUGCAGAGAAGCUCAACCAUGCCUUUAUCUCCUCAAGGCUGGACUAUUGCAACGCACUCAUCGGGAUCCCUGGCAGGAGUCUCCAGAAGCUCCAAUACAUCUAGAACAACACUGCCAGAAUCCUGAUGAGAGUGCGGAAACACCAUCACAUCACCUCCAUAGUGGCAUCUCUGCACUGGCUCCAAGUCUCAUUUCAGAUUGAAAUCAAAACCCUCAUGCUGACUGUCCAGUCUAAUUAUGGCAAUGCCCCUCCUUAUCUAAAAAAAACUGCUCUCCCCCCAAUAACCCCACCCUCGGGUCAAGUGAUAGCCUGCUCCUCCAAGCCCUCAGGACUAAGCUCCGCUCCUUUGGGGACCUUUCUAUUAUAGCUGUGCUUCUUGGUGUCCUUGUAGCGUCUGCUGUGUUCUUUGUGUCAGUUGCCAUGUCUAGUGUCAAUUAUUACUUUUUUUGAUCAGAUUAUUCUGUAAAAUGAAAAUAAUUAUUAUUACUUGUAUUCCGUGUGAGCGUUCAUGCUCCAAAAUGGACUGCUAGGUUGUUUGUUCUGUGCAGCAAGCCGAUCAGAGCUUGAUGGCAUUAUGUCAAAUAGUGUUUACACAAAGUAGGACUGCUGUAUUUGGACAACACUAAAACUGCGGAGUGGGAAUACUGAAGGGGUGUUCUGUGUAGACCAUUUCAAAUUCUGGCAAUGAGUGUACAAACAGGAAUUUACACAAAACACUACACGUGUACAAAUAGACACUGGAAUUAUCACAAAAGCAAGCCAAUAUACGUGUCCAAGCUAAACCCCACAGCUAUUCAUAACACAACUAGAAGCUACAGUAAAUGGUGACGUACUAGUCUCAUAUUUGAAUGAGCUGAUUGCAUGUAGUUGUAAAUGUCACUAUGUUCAAUGCAAAUUCUGACCGUCUGGCGAUGAUAGUAACUUGCAUAUGUGGUGGAGGGGAGAUAUCGCGUGUACGUCCCAAAUGGUACCCUAUUCCCUAUAUAGUGCACUAGUUCUGACCAGAGCCCUAUGCACUACAUAGAUAAUAGGGUGCCAUUUGGGAAGUAGCCCAACACAUGCCGUAAAAAUGUGUCAUAGAGCACCAGAGAGAAUGUGAACAUAAUUUCAGUGGCUGCUAUGCUACAUUAGAGGAACUCGCCUGUUAGGCACAGAGCACAGCCCAGAGCAGAGCACUAAUGGCAGGACUCCCAAACCAGGGACCAUGCUGAGGAGGAUUCAGCUUAUCUCUGGCAGUAACCAUGGCGAUGCAAGCCAUACAGAACAUCCUCGUUAUCAGGGUCCUAGAGGACUCGCUGGAGUGUGGUAUUUUCGUGGUGACCGUCCGCUGUGAAGACCGCCUCCUGCUGGACUUCUGGUGGCGGAAGCCCCCAUUUUGGAACAGCCAGGUGGAACAGACAGACAUCCAGUGCCAGGCUGGACCAGAGCCAAACCAGGGGAUGGAUUUUGUUCUGCGGGCCCUUCACAGAGCACCUAACCUCCCCAACAUGCACUACUGGGGCCCCUUUGUUGUCGGCCUGUGCCUGGACGCGCUGCCCUUCCGUUUUCGCCUCCCUCCCGAAGCACUCAGCGGCGGAAUACAGGAAGUGAUGCAAGAAUGUGGCGAGCUGGUGCUCAUACGCUGAGGGGGCUCUGAACUGUAUUGGUGGCUUUAGCAUAUCAUUCUUUCCGACUGACUUUACUGGGCAGCUCUGAAUCAGACAUGGCCGAGUCAGACAGUCAGUCAGUUCCAGAUGGAAGCCCAGCCCACCCUGGUUCCUCUGGACUGCACUGUGGUCUCCCACCACCCCACGCCCACUCAGUUAUAUCCACCAUCCACCCAUUCAUCCCUCCCUCCUUCCCUGUUCCUUUGCCUGCUCUGUGUCUGCCCAGAGACAGCCACCACCACGACAUCACUGGCCUGACCAGAGACGAUAGUGGGAAGAGCCGAACCGCUUUAUAACGAAGGAGUCACCACUUCAAAAGGCAGUGUGGUGAAGCCGGAUGAAAGAUGAAAGAACAGACACUCUGGUUUAAGACUGGGGAAACAAAGCCUGAGCAAACAAGGCUAGUAGAGGGAGAGGAGGAGAGGAGGAGGAGAGGGGGGAACAAAAGAGAAAAUGGCACCCUUGCCUUGCCCAAAUUAGACUGACCUCCUUUCUAGGGAAAAGCUGGUCCUCAAAGGCCGAUAUCACACAUAGUUACUCCAAGAGAACAUUUUAUGACAAGCCAUAGGCAGUUAAAACAGAAAAUGAUUUCUAUUUGGAAAGCGCAAACAAAAUAUUACUCAAGCGUUUCACCCACCACCCCAGCCCUGUAGCCCCGACCAGAUACUUACCAUCAUAGGUAAAGUAGGCCCCGUCCUUGAAGACUACAACCGAUGGAAGCUCUGGCAAAGUCACCGACUGGAUGGUGAAAACACAUAAAAUACAUAAUUCAAAGUGAAUUCCAUAAAUCAUCCCUUACUUUCUUAAUUUAUGGGCACCUGAACCAUACGAGACAGCAGUCCUAUUGGCGGCAUGCCAUCCUAGCAAACUGUGGACCUCAUGCCAAAUAAACCGGCAAAAGCAGCAUGCUCACAGGCUUCACUGUCCCUAUGGCAUUUACCAUAUCAUACUGCAUGGAAAAUGUCACUGUAGCACUGCUGGACUUUCACUUGUGAGUGCUGCCUUAUAGCUAGCUAUAUGACUAAAACAAUUAUCAAAAUCACAAUAAGUCCCUAAUUAGAAAAGUGAUGAGAAUGAAACUUUCAAAUGCGCCGUUGAUAAGUUCUCCUCGCUGAAAUGUUAUGUGGGAAAACAACCUAACUGAAGAGCCAGGGGACAUGCCACAUUCUCAAGGCCGUUACCUCUGGUAAGACGUCUUCAGACGCAGAGAAGAAGUAUGUAUACACAAUCAGCUCCGCAGCCAUGUCGAUAUACUUCUCCUGCAAACGAGAAAUCAACACAAGUUACAAGCUUCUUCUUCUCUGAGAAUUGCCCUCUGUGUUAACUUGGUAUGGGACAUUUAUCAAGGUUGUCUAGCACGUUGUAUAAAUGGGCCUUUCCUCACUCAGAGCGCUUGGCAGCAGCAGUGUGAGCAGAAGCUUUAUGAUCCAAUCAAUAAAUUCUAGCUAAAUGCCGUGACAGCUUUCAGUGGCAUUGAUUGGAUGAUAAGAUAACAUUUCAGACCCAGAGAAGUGAUAAACAUAUGGGGGGAAUGCAUAUCGAAUUACUCAGAAAGAACAUAAGUUAAAUCAGGAUGGUAGCUAACAAAUACGUCAAUGAAGUAUGGAUCGUCUUACUAUAUAAUGUGUACUUUGUGAGAGCUCCAACCAAGAAUUCCUAUUUCUUUUUACACCUCUGAAGGGCAAAUAACCUACUUGAACUGACUGGAAUAAAUGUAUCGUUAACAAAUUCCCAUGACCACACUGCGAGAAUAUGAAUCCUACUAUGAUUUCAUGCACUGAAUUACUUAACAUAAAUGUUUGUUGAUUUGUAUAUUUUUCACUCAAAAUGUCUGAAGGUAUUGGGUCAAAACAACUUCACACUUAUUAUAUUGCUACUUCCAGAGCCCCUACCUUGAGUGGAGACUCCCCGCCGAAGUACACAAAGAGCACGUCAUGUCUCUUCAUCAUAUGGUCAAACAUCUGUUUGCUUGGAAGUGCUCGGACUGCUGGCCUGAAGAGGACAGAAGACAUGCACACAAACAGAAACACUAUUGUUUUGGAUUAUAAGAUAAAUGUGUUUUCCAUUAGUUAAAUUGCCUGAAGUUGAGAAAACGUUUUCAAACAAAGUGAAACAGAGAGGAACUAACCUGAACAUGUCACAUUAGAACACCAAUUUAUUUAUUGCUACGGACUGCCUACUGAACACGGCCAUGUUUUUUUCUAGUUGAACUCUAGUUUAACGUGUAUGGUUCUGGUGCCAUCUAGUGAACAUCGCAGAAGCAUGCAGUCAGAGGUGAAAACCCAGCCAGGUCUUUGACCCACCAUUCCGACUGAUCAGUCAUCACGGGUCUAGUUUGGAUUUUCCCCUGAGAGGAAUCUCCUCAGGCUAAACUAUUAACUGGCAUUUGAAGAGACUUUGAAGGGCUAGGGUGGAAAUUCACUGAAUUCUACGGGGGGAGAUAAGACAUUUGUUUGAUAGAGUUCCAUGUGUAGCCCAUACAGCAUAAUGUCCUGUUUAGGUGACCACAGUAUUCAGGGUAUGUAUAGCCAUUUUUGUCCAAUCAUAUUUAUUCAUAUAGACUUACAAAAGUGAUUAUGUACUCAUUUAUAUCACCCAUAAGAGAUGUUGAAGCAACAGCGCAUAUGGUAAGAGACCUAUGACUUACCCUGCUACCCUGUUGGCGAAUUCUACGAUGUCAUCCUUUGUCCUUGGCCCCUUGUAAUUAUAGGCAAGAUCACCCUUUAGCCUGAGAAAGGAGAGUGAGUGUGGCGGGGAGAAAGCGAUUGAAUAACACCAAGAAAAAGACCAUGAAUUUCCUUCUUUAUGCCAGUCCUUUUGUGAGGAGAAAUGGACAGAAUGGUACAUUUGCAUGAGAGAAAAACAAGAUAAAAGCCUUUCAUUUGGCCCUUUAAUUGUUACGCUCGAUAUCUAGUGCUUGUAUGUGUGCAUUCUGACAACCCACUCUGGGGUUGCUCUUUGUAGUGCUGUGAAAAGGCACGAUAACAAUGCCAAAGCUAAAAGAGAUUACACUUCUCCAGCUAGUGUGAGUCAAAUCCAAAACUACUCAAACCAAAAGGCAGGUCCAUGGGUCAAAGCGAUCCCUUUACCCAGAGGUCAGGGCUGUAUGUAUCAAGCGUCUCAGAGUAGGAGUGCUGAUUUCAGAUCAGUUUUGCCUUUAGAUCACAACUAAUAACAUUACAUGGACAGGGGUAAACCUGAUCCAAGAUCAGCACUCCCACUCAGAGAUACUUACACUUUCAGCCCCAGAAUAUCUCUAUUUGAUCAGCGUUUUGGAUAAGCGUCAUCCAAUUUCCAAUAGCAGUACAAGAGAAAACAAGGGCCCUCUUCUCUUUCAUUAUAGAGUUACAUCAACCACAACACUCCUAGGAUCAGACCCCAAAAGACCUGACAAAUACAUCCAGGAGUGUUUGCUAGGGAUACGCCAGUACACAAGGCUAUUUGGAUCUAUUCUAAUGAACUCCGGGAGAGAUGGCGUCUCAGGUCUGUCUCUAUAUUUCUCUCCGGGGGAUACUACCUAGUGUAGUCCCCUGAGAAUAUUUCAUCACUCGCUUGGUUUAAUGUGAUGAUUGCCCCCACUGUGAUCAUCUAACAGAGUUAUCAUGUUUUCUCAAACAGAACCUGAGUGUCCUACAGAAGCCUCAAAUAAAUGAAUAAAAGAUUAUACUGUGUUGUCUGAA